rnacentral:lncRNA from 12 species
AUGAAACUGGAGAAGUCACAUCCAGGCGUACCUGUGGGCCCCCCUCGCUGGAUCUGGACCCCAGUUUUAGUAAGAUGGUCUGACGAUGGGAGCCCAGAGGGAAGCAUGAGCACGUGGGGUCCCCGUAGCUCUCCUUCCCCCACGUCUGUCCUUCCCUGCGCUGGGCGGUGUCACGGGGAGCGAGCGCACCGCCCCAGGUCGGAGGAGCCCGUGGGCCGGGGACAUGCACAGCCCAGGGUGCUGGGCUCUCCAAAGAGCAAACACGCUCACUGGCUGACGUGGCCGAGCGGCGUGGCUGUGACAUCCCGGAGCAUGCAGGGAAGGGAGGAGUGUCCCCGGCGCCGUUUCCAAGCCCCGGGACUCCCAGAGCCCUCUGCUCAGCGCUGCUCCUGGCUCUGGGGACACAGCUUCUGCCACCCAGCCCUGUCUGGGGGGUGACAACCCCCCUCCCCAGGUGACUGGAACAGCUGGGGUCUUCUCACGAGUGGCCCUCAAGCAACUGAGCUUCCAUUAUCUUUGCGGCUGCAGAGGAGCUGGGGAUCAUUGUGUUUGCUGCUUGGGGCUGAGGACUAUCACUUGCUUCCUGGGGAUUAAAAUCCAGAGGAGCAGGGCACCCGGGUGGCUCAAGUUCUGACCUCAGGGCCCUGUGGUGGAGGCCCGGCCCUGCCCCAGCUGCCUUGAGUCUCUCAAGCCCUUGGGAAACAGGCUUGGGGUUCGGCCAGGGGGAGGGAGCACUGUGCCAGGAGUCCGGGAGCAGGGGCUGAGCUCCUCCUCGCCAGCUGGGCUGUGCCUUUGGACGGUUGCUCUGUGGCUCCUCUGUAGCUCAGGAUGGGGGGGCGGCUGCACCGGCCUGGAGGUCUGCAAGGACGGUCCAGGGGCGGCCUUUCCCCUCGGCUCAGGCCUCAAGCACCCGGUGCCUGUGUGUCCCCACCUCCCACCCGGGCCCCGGGGCCCCGACAUUCGUCCCUGCAGCUGCGGAGCCUCGAGGGCGCGGCUGAGGUGAUGAAGUCUUGGAAUCCAGGUGCAGCUUGAGGUGAGGCCUGGAGCCAGGAAAGAAUUCUUGAGGCAUCUUUGGUGCAAAGUGGUGGUUUUUUGGGAUCCCGGGGAUGGGCCGUGUGAGCACGGAGCUGCGGCCGGGCCUGUGAGGAGACCACCGCACACCUGGGGUGGGAGGCCCCGGGGACAGCCGCCCCAAGGGCUUGGAAGCCAUGUGCUGGGGACCUCCAGGGCUGGCUGCGGUGGGGGCCCUGAUCACCAUCUAAUAAAACCCGGGUCACGAGACCCUUCA